AGACGAACCGUCCAAACGUUAUUCGGAAUCACUGGGCUUAAAGGGUGCGUAGGCGGCCGUACAAGUCGGGUGUGAAAUCCCUCGGCUCAACCGAGGAAUUGCGCCCGAAACUGUGCGGCUAGAGGAAGACAGAGGUGAGCAGAACUGGCGGUGGAGCGGUGAAAUGCGUUGAUAUCGCCAGGAACACCAGUGGCGAAGGCGGCUCACUGGGUCUUUUCUGACGCUGAGGCACGAAAGCUAGGGGAGCGAACGGGAUUAGAAACCCGAGUAGUCC
rnacentral:rRNA from 1 species